rnacentral:miRNA from 1 species
UCGGGGUGGGAGGAAGGUUCU